rnacentral:misc_RNA from 1 species
UCAAACUUGGUCAUUUAGAGGAAGUAAAAGUCGUAACAAGGUUUCCGUAGGUGAACCUGCGGAAGGAUCAUUACCGAGCUCGCGCCCCUCGGGGUCGACCUCCCACCCUUGCGUGUCCCAUACCCUGUUGCUUUGGCGGGCCGCACGCCGUGCCCCGGGCUGCCGGCAGCCCGGGAGUGCCCGCCAGGGGAAGCCCAAACUCUGCGUGAGCGUAUUGUCUGAGCCUGACGUUAAUAUCAAAACUUUCAACAACGGAUCUCUUGGUUCUGGCAUCGAUGAAGAACGCAGC